CGCCGCCCGCCUCGGACGUGGCUUGGCCCGCUCCAAAAUCCGGCGCUAACCUUGUGCUGGACGCGCCGUGCACUGCGGCCGCACCCACGCCGCGCCGCCCCGACAGGGGAUGGCGAGCUGUGUGGGCGCGCGCCGCCCGCGGCCCGAAUAGCGAGCCGUCGUAGCGUGGCGUAGCGCUGGGCAGAGGCUCGGCGCGCCACCUUGAGGAAGGUCCGGGACGCCGCCGACGCCGUUUGUUUGCUCUGCCGCUGCCGCGAGGUCACAUCGCGCAGCACAGCUCUCACUGAAAUGCCGCACUGUCUGCACCCCCAUUGCCUGCAUCCACAUUAUGACCUUCCUGAUCGCUAAGAAUGGCAUUAUCUGCACUGGAGUGCCAGUGGCCGCAACAUAGCCAACGCCGACGACAUCCACAACCCCAGCUCCAGUCGUGCAACAAAGAACAAGUCCAGACUACAGCGGCUGGUACCGACAACUUCGCCAGUACGUGGGCCAUUGCAAGCAGCAAUGCUCUCACGGAUUUCCACGCCAUUUGAAUGGAGCCUUUGUAGUUUCAGUGAAGAUCGUCUCUCAGCCGUCAGCCGCCUCUCUGUCCAUUCUUAUAGGAAGGAUGAAGAUGAUCACAAGAACUGUCAUACUCAGUAUCUCGAGAUGCUUUUAGGGAUACUAUAUUAUUUACCCAAUUUGAUGACAAGGUCAGAUACCGAAAUUUGGUCCUUGCCUGCCUAUAUACUUUGGAAAGGGAACUUUUCAAUACUGUGAACAAUCUGCAUUAUGUCGCCAUUAAGCGUAGCACUAUGAUAUGCUGCAAGUUCUCUCUCCCCUUUGGAGGGUGUCUCUGAAAACAUUGUUAUACGUAACUGGAGUGAUAGUGGCAUGAUAUCGUGGGGUGCCUCAACUGCCGAGUGGUUUGAGCGUCUCAUUACAGGCCUGAAUGUCUCAA